rnacentral:tRNA from 1 species
GGUCUUAUAGUGUAGUGGUCAGCACGUGAGAUUCUGAUUGUCACGCUUGUGAUUUCUCGAGUCCUCGGUUCGAACCCGAGUAAGACCU